rnacentral:rRNA from 1 species
GUGUCAGCCGCCGCGGUAAUACGUAGGGUGCAAGCGUUAAUCGGAAUUACUGGGCGUAAAGCGUGCGCAGGCGGUUUUGCAAGUCCGAUGUGAAAUCCCCGAGCUCAACUUGGGAACUGCGUUUGAAACUCCAAAGCUAGAGUAUAGGAGAGGGGGGUAGAAUUCCACGUGUAGCAGUGAAAUGCGUAGAGAUGUGGAGGAAUACCAAUGGCGAAGGCAGCCCCCUGGCCUAAUACUGACGCUCAUGCACGAAAGCGUGGGGAGCAAACAGGAUUAGAAACCCCAGUAGUCC